rnacentral:rRNA from 1 species
GACGAACGCUGGCGGAGUGCCUAAUACAUGCAAGUCGAACGCAGUGGGGACGGGUGAGUAACACGUGGGUAACCUCCCAUCAGAGGGGAUAAAACUUGGAAACAGGUGCUAAACCGAUACUGAUGGAUGGACCCGCGGUGCAUUAGCUAGUUGGUGAGGUAACGGCUCACCAAGGCCACGAUGCAUAGCCGACCUUGGAGGGUGGUCGUCCACCCUGUGACUCAGACACGGCCCAGACUCCUACAGAUGGGCGCAAUAUGGACGCUUCGGCAAUGGACGAUGGUCUGAUCGAGCAGCGCCGCGUGAGUGAAGAAGGUUUUCGGAUCGUAAAACUCUGUUGUUAGAUAAGCAGUAUCUAACCAGAAAGCCACGGCUAACUACGUGCCAGCAGCCGCAGUAAUAC